UGUGGAUUUCAAAUCAUGGGAUUUGACCUUAAUCAUCGAAGGACAAUAACUCAAAUUUAGAUAUAAUAGUUUAUUUGUGAAUUUCAAGAUUGAGUUAGCUUUAUCACGAUGGUUUUGAAAUAAUUAUAUAAAACUAGUUAUUUGAAAUUAUGCUAAGAAUUUUCUUUUUAGCUACAAGGAUCCUACUAUAAUAUAUAUAUAUAUAUAUAUCUUCUAUUUCAACUUAUCUUCUUCCAUUGUUUUUUUGAUUUGAAAUACAUAAGGUAGUUUGUUUUGUGUGCGUUUGUUGUUUGGUUGCAGCUAGAGGCGGCUCACGAUAGGGAGAAGGAACUACUUCAGGAAAUAACUGAUUUGCAAUGGAGGUUUUUAUAAUCAUAAACACACGACAUUAUACAUCACAAUGUUAUAAAAAAUCUCAUAGUUUUUGAACAUUGUUUUUCUUUUAAAAUUUUCUUUUAAUUUUUUAUGCAAGCUAAUAUGUGCCCAAGAGGAGCUUAGAAAUAUAAAACUGACAAUGCUCAUGUAUGAUCUUAUUCCCCAACUGGCAUUGAAGAAAAAUAUAGUCGAUUCCACUACACUGACUAAAAUGGAAAAAAUAAAA